rnacentral:tRNA from 1 species
GCACCUGUGCCGGAGUGGUCUAACGGGUGGGUCUCAAGCCUUGAGAAGGAGCUUUCCCAUAGCGAAAGCUGCGUGAGUUCAAAUCUCACCGGGUGCA